GAUGAACGCUAGCGGGAGGCUUAACACAUGCAAGUCGAGGGGCAGCACGAGGUAGCAAUACUUUGGUGGCGACCGGCGCACGGGUGAGUAACGCGUAUGCAACCUACCCUGUACAGGGGGAUAGCCCGGAGAAAUUCGGAUUAAUACCCCAUAAUGAUAUCGAGAGGCAUCUUUUGAUAUUUAAAGUUUCGGCGGUACGGGAUGGGCAUGCGUGACAUUAGCUAGUUGGUAGGGUAACGGCCUACCAAGGCUGCGAUGUCUAGGGGUCCUGAGAGGGUGAUCCCCCACACUGGUACUGAGACACGGACCAGACUCCUACGGGAGGCAG
rnacentral:rRNA from 1 species